UACAGAGGGUGCAAGCGUUAAUCGGAAUUACUGGGCGUAAAGCGUGCGCAGGCGGUUCUAUAAGACAGAUGUGAAAUCCCCGGGCUCAACCUGGGAACUGCAUUUGUGACUGUAGAGCUGGAGUACGGCAGAGGGGGAUGGAAUUCCGCGUGUAGCAGUGAAAUGCGUAGAUAUCGGAAGGAACACCAGUGGCGAAAGCGACUUCCUGGUCCAAUACUGACGUUCAUGUGCGAAAGCGUGGGGAGCAAACAGG
rnacentral:rRNA from 1 species